AACGUUUUAGGAAGGUGUUAGGCACCUAAAACGUCCGCUAACUUGCGGCUAUCCGGACUAUUUGAAAAUCGUCUUUUGAUUAACUUUGGAAAAUCGAUUUGUUGAAAAAGAAUUUGAUUAAGGAAAAGAAUUUCGCGAAAUCAGUUUUUUAGAGACUUAGUUAGGGAUUUAACUAGGUUCGCAAAGAGACAAGCAAACAAGUAAAUGAAAAGGGAAAAAGCGAAUGGAUUUAGGCUUUUAAGCCCAAACCGUUGACCCUGUCCUAAUCUAGUUGGGUUUUCGACCCAUUUGCACCUGUCUUGAUUCUAUGUUUUCGAGCCUUUAACUCGAGUCUCGCUCCACCUGUAUUAAAUACAACCUUGGCUUCGUGGCCCAAAUAAAUAAAUAAGAAUGUAAAUAACUAAAUAAAGACGACAAUAAGUAAAUAAACAAAUAACAAAUGAGCCUUUUUCUUUUUUGGUCUUGUAGCCGCUUCAAAUGUGGAACUUUAACCCAUUCUUCGCCCUUUGAUUCCUUGUAUUGUGCCAUAAGAUUGAUGUAAUCGAUUUUAUGUCCUCCAAAGGGUGGGCCUCCAUGGCCCGUAGCGUAAUGCAAAGAAAAGAGCUUAAUUGGACUCCCAAGAUAGUUCAUGCAAAAAAAAAAAAAAAUUAAUAUCUACCCGAAACGCCACAUGACAUAAUGCGGGAACAAAUGGCCCAAGGUUUCGAGAGUAAAAAAAAAAUGAUACAAAGCAAAACACAUCUUUUAACAUAAUAUAAACAUUAACUCACGCGACAAGGAAGCAGGUGAAAUUUAACUCGAAUAGAGGGAAUCGUCAAGUUUCAACUAAACCAACAUUAUCGGUAAUGCAAACAUUCCAAUUAUAGCAAUGAAGCUACACGGCAAAGAUUGAUCGAAGCCGACAUAGGUCGCCUACGUAUCCCGUUCUUGGAAAUUCAGGUCAAACGUAGUUCAUAGAUAAACUCAUAAUGGCCCUAAAAAUACUCUUAUCCACCUUACUAGGGUAUAAAUAAGUACUUCUAUGGAUGAUAUGACAUUUGCAUUGCGUUUGUCUUGAUAGAACAAAGUAUCAAAUGUCCAAUGGAGUCAUCGCCUUCCUAGUUAACCACCCCGGUUUCCUCUAGAUUAGGCUUCUUUGAUUCUCGAACUCUUUAACUCUUCUGUUGACUGUUCUAGGCUAUCAUUAUUUUGCUUCUUGACAUGACAUGAUAAAGGCAAGUUUUAAGUUACUGUUAUACGACGGGUGAUGAGUCAUGAGUGGAGUGGAGGUCCAAUUCAACAAUGUUUCCUCCAAUUAAUCUUCCAUGAUCCCGAUUGUCUUGGAAAAUUCUUCCCUUAUAUUUUUCUUGUUCCAUCCUCGAGACCAUCACUUACAGGGUUGAAAAAUGAUUGGUAGAGUCUAGUUUUACUACUAGUCAUUUUUCUUUUCCUGUAACGAAGCGAUAGUCAAGAAGGGGAUCUCUUAUUCAUUUUGAUCUGGUGAAGUAGGGUUAUUUUGUACCAACACAGAGUAGUUUCUAUUACCUGCAAAGUAAAAAUAACUCAAAUGAUGACGUGUUAGAUUCCGUUAGUAAUAAGUAAAGCAAGAUGAUAAGGUAGGAAGCAAACAUGUAGAGUUGUUUCUCAUCUCAUGCGAAUUGAUCCAUAAAGUAAUGAUGACUUGGGGAUUUUAAUGAACAGGAUAUUGCUCAAUGAUAUGGAUAGGUGGAAUUUAUUGGGAAGAUUCAACUCUUCUUCCUUCAAGAAAGUGGAGGACAACAUAGCUUUUGGAGAUAUGGGCCGGGGCGAAAGGCUGCCUAUGUAUCUCACGAAGGAGAAAUCAGGCCCUGCGUAGUUCGAACUAUAAUGGCAUUUUCUGAUUCUAAAGUCAACUUUCCUAAAAUGGUAGCGAUUAUUUUGGAAGUUUUGAGAAUAAGUACGGACUUUUUUGAGAAACUUGGGAGACUUGGAGUACUUUUGGUCGAACUUUUGUAUAGCCGGUAUGUUUCUGCCUAGAGAUGUUCUAUGAAAAAUGGGAUUGGAUCAUUUCACCUUUGAUUCGAAUCAACACAACACGUAUAAGCACAUAAACAGUUAUAUUACACAAGCAUAUUGUAAUAAAAGUGCAUCCUAAUUAUGUGACCCAUUUGAGCCAAGGGUUUAGGCCUAAGAAAUUUUGAAGAAAAUAUACGCCUUUUAAAAGAUAAUCCAUUAUCCCCAUAAACCUUCAUAGGUAUACCUAAAUGAUUUAAAUGUCUACAAAAGUUGUACAAAAGAGAUACAAUCUUUAGGGAAAGGGAAUAAUAUACCACGCAGGGGAUACUAAUUACUGAAUGCUUCUUCUAUCGGCGUUCGCGCUUUUAGCUUUGUCCACUCCUCAUUAUUGGAAACAUCCGUUAAUGAUCAAGCGAUUGAUGCAUCCUUAUACAAAAAUGAGUAAAACAAGUCUUCUCCCGACCCCAAAGGAUAAAGGAUUGGAUUAAACAAACAUAUAUUUAUUCAACACAUAAAUAUGAUUUGUCUGUAAUUGNNNNNNNNNNNNNGAAAGCUUUCUAAUGGGUCCAAUACCCCUUUCGAGUAUUAGGUCGUCCUAGGCUCAUGCCUAAAUAGGAUUUUGGUUUCAUUCUAUCCUAGGUGUCUAGAGUGGGUCUGAACACUGGUUCUCAAGACGACAACUUGAGUUUGAAAAUACGAAUUGCCAUUAGACGACUCACGUGCUAAUAAGCCGUUCGUAUUUCAACACAUUUUUGAAAUUGAACAACAGGGGCCGAGACAUCUACGAAACCCAAAACAGUCUAAAUAACGCAAGAAUAUGCCAUGAGAUACGAUAGUUAAACUUUACAUAAUCGAAACAUAUAAACACAUAGGCAGUUAAUUGAAAGACGAAAUCAUUUAGUUAGAACCUAGUUAAAGAUUCACAACUGAGUCGUCAUUUCUGUUUUGCGGAAUUUUUUACUUUUGAAAGUGUCGCCACUUAAUUUUGAAAAGGAAUUAAAAACCUUUAUAAAACACUUUAAACGAUCUAAAACAAAAAAAUCGUUUAAGUUAAGAAAUUCUAAGUAAGCGCUUCCUAUUAACGUUUUAGGAAGGUGUUAGGCACCUAAAACGUCCGCUAAAUUGCAAUUAUCCAAACUAUUUGAAAAUCGUCUUUUGAUUAACUUUGGAAAAUCGAUUUGUUGAAAAAGAAUUGGAUUAAGAAAAAGGAUUUCGCGAAAUCAAUUUUUUAGAGACUUAGUUAGGGAUUUAACUAGGUUCGCAAAGAAACAAGCAAACAAGUAAAUGAAAAGGGAAUAAGCGGGAAAGUAAUGAUUUAGGCUUUUAAGCCCAAACCACCCUGGUCUAAUCUAGUUGGGCUUUCGACCCAUUUGCACCUGUCUUGAUUCUAUGUUUUCGAGCCUUUAGCUCGAGUCUCGCUCCACCUGUAUUAAAUACAACCUUGGCUUCGUGGCCCGAAUAAAUAAAUAAGAAAGUAAAUAAAUAAAUAAAGACGAUAAUAAGUAAAUAAACAAAUAACAAAUGAGCCUUUUUUUUUUUUUUUGGUCUUGUAGCCGCUUCAAAUGUGGAACUUUAACCCAAUCUUCGCCCUUUGAUUGCAUGUAUUUAUAUUGUGCCAUAAGAUUGAUGUAAUCAAUUUUAUGUCCUCUAAAGGGUGGGCCUCCGUGGCCCAUUGCGUAAUGCAAAGAAAAAGAGCUCAAUUGGACUCCCAAGAUAGUUCAUGCAAAAAAAAAAAUAAAAAAAAUUAAUAUCUCUCCGAAACGCCACGUGACAUAAUGCGGGAACAAAUGGCCCAAGGUUUCGAGAGUUAAAAAAAACGAUACAAAGCAACACACAUCUUUUAACAUAAUAUAAACAUUAACUUACGUGACAAGGAAGCAGGUGAAAUUUAACUCUAAUAGAGGGAAUCGUCAAGUUUCAACUAAACCAACAUUAUCGGUAAUGCAAACAUUCCAAUUACAGCAAUGAAGCUACACGGCAAAGAUGGACAAGAUAAAUAAAUCGGGCAACAAAUAAGAGAAAUAUCACUGGAGAAGAAAACAAUAAGUGAAAACAAGAUUCUAAUAACAAAGAUGUACCAAAAUGAUAGAACUAGAUUAGGAAAAUUUCACCUUAUCAAACUUAUUAGCUUGCAACUAUGAUUCAACCAAAUGUAACUUCUCUUUAAUUAAGAAGGGGAAAAUAGGGAGAAGAAAGCAAAACAGUUCAGACAAGCAGAUUACUCAAUCAUAUAAUGAAUUAAAGGAUCAUAGCAUAAUGUAAUCAACUAAUAAUCUUGAAUCACCACAAAGCAACACCAAACUAGAACAUGGGAUUAGAUUUUCAACCGAGACUUGAAACGUGAGGAUACAGAUAAUGGGUCAAAUUUAAUUUUAUCGAUAAAUUAAAUAAACUGCAAUCCAAACUUUUGGAUAGGAACAAAAAUUUGAGGCAAAAGAAACAUUUAAUUAUGAAAAGAAAUAUUUUUGUUCACUUGACAUAAUGUUAAAGAAAGGAAACUUUCAGCUACAGGGGGUAUCACGAUAGGUUUUUACAGCAACUAAGCAACACAAACAUCAACUCAUUCGUAGAAGAACAAUAAAACUAGCAUUGUGACACUGGGAUACAAAGCAAUUAGUCAGAUACUAGCAACUUGGACCCUAAUGUUGAAAUACAAAAUAAUAUGUUGAUGACUUAACAAAAUCCACGUUGCAGUGAGUUUGAAGGCAAAACUGAGCACCAACUAUGAGACGAAAGCACUGAUUUAGUAGCUCAGCGGAUGAAAGGAAAAAAUCGUACAUAGAAUUUUCACCAAAAUCAAAGUUAACACCAAAUGAUGAUUGAGAUCCAACGAUAGAAAGUGUUCACAUAAACAGAGACCUAAAAAACAUAUUCAUGAUAUACAGAUGCCUAAAACAUUAACAGCUAACAAAUAACAUUACCAUGAGACAGUAAGCUUCAAACCAUCGAGUUGAAACAUACGAGAUUGACGAUUAAUCGAAAAGUUACGAUACAAACAGCGAUGCAACAAACAACUCAGCGACAAUCAUCACAAGUAAAUCCUAUAACCAUCAAAGCCAUCUACAGCAAGAAACCCAGCCUCAUUCAUCGACAAACAAAUAACGAUUUCUACGAAGAGAGAGGGAUGAAGAAGAAAACGAUAAGUUAAAAGGGGCGAGGGUAGGUUUACCUCCUUUGUGGCAGCAAAGCGGGACUCGAGCUAUCAGCAAAAUCGUCCCUAGUAGGAGAUUAUGUUGUCGACUUGGGAACUCUCAAUCAAUCGACUAGCUUCCCAGGAAGAAAAAAAAAAUGGAUGAGAAAACUUUUUUCAAAACAAACUCUUUACUUUCGGAGUUCCCAACCCCAAAUUUUGAACUAGCCUGAAGUUUUCUCCUUUAAACUCUUUCGAACCUUCGUCUCUAACCUUUCACCUUAGAGCUUCGACCCUCGAAUUUCCAAAGAAAAGAAAAAAAGAACCCCCAAAAUCUCCAACUUUUGUAGACUGCCAAGGAAUCGAACCCCUAGAAUUUUACCCAAACUUUCAAACCCUUCAAAGAAGAGAAAAAAUCUGAACCCCCCCUCUAAAACUGCGACCUGAUCUCUUCUUAUAUAGAAGAUGGAAACUCAAGGGUAUCUUAGGGAUUUUUCAAAGGGAAUUUGAAAUUCAAAACCCAUGGGAUCCCCCGAAUCGUCCCCGAUUUGGAUUUUUCCACAAAUUUGAAACCCCAUGGACCAAUCAAAUGCGGGAGGACAAAAUGUACCCAAGAACCAAUGAAAAUUUUCCAAAUAUGUACGAAUCCGUACGGGUUAUCCCAAAAUUUGCGGGAUUGGAUCGUUGGGAGGUAACACCUAGCUUGUUCUAGAAGGUUUCUUGGCGUCCUUUCAUACACAUCAGUGUAGAACGCGCGAGAGAGGAAAAAGCAAGUCGUUUGGAAUCAAUUUAGGGUUUAAAAUCGGGUCUAGAAUAGGUUGACAUUUGUUGGUGAUGUACGCCAUUUUUGGCUGCUUCUUGGCAUUGGAGACCCGUUCUUUGUUGAUUAAAGGAGAAAGGGGAAUUUUUGAUGGUG
rnacentral:lncRNA from 1 species